rnacentral:rRNA from 1 species
AUUGAACGCUGGCGGCAGGCCUAACACAUGCAAGUCGAACGGCAGCGGGGGGUAGCUUGCUACCCCGCCGGCGAGUGGCGGACGGGUGAGUAAUGCCUGGGGAGCUGCCCAAUCGAGGGGGAUACCAGUUGGUAACGACUGCUAAUACCGCAUACGCCCUGAGGGGGAAAGGUGGGGAUCUUCGGACCUACCGCGAUUGGAUGCACCCAGGUGGGAUUAGCUAGUUGGUGAGGUAACGGCUCACCAAGGCGACGAGCUCUAGCUGGUCUGAGAGGAUGACCAGCCACACUGGAACUGAGACACGGUCCAGACUCCUACGGGAGGCAGCAGUGGGGAAUAUUGCACAAUGGGGGAAACCCUGAUGCAGCCAUGCCGCGUGUGUGAAGAAGGCCUUAGGGUUGUAAAGCACUUUCAGUGGGGAGGAAAGGGUGGAAGCUAAUACCUUUCAUCUGUGACGUUACCCACAGAAGAAGCACCGGCUAACUCCGUGCCAGCCGCCGCGGUAA